GUUUUUUUAGAAAUAAAUUUAAUUUACAAGUUUUUAAUUUUUUNUUUAUUUAUUAAAAUAAAAAAAUUAUUAAUUUGAAUAUUUUAAGGGAUAAGCUUUAAAAUAAAUUAUUAAAAAUUAGUAAUUUUAAUAUAAAAUGUAUGAAUAGAAUUUUCAAUCAUUUGUAAAUUUGUUAUAAAUUAUUUUAUAAUUUUUAUUAUUUACUAUUAUUUUAAGUUUUUAUAAAAAUUUUUUCAUAAAUUUUUUAUGAAAAUUAAUAAUGAUAAAAUUAGUAUAUUUAUAUUGUACAUAUAAUUUUAUUUGAUAAGUUUAUAUAAAGAACUCGGCAAAUUUAUAUACUCGCCUGUUUAACAAAAACAUGUCUUUUUGAGUUAUUUUUAAAGUCUGACCUGCCCACUGAAUAAUUUUGAAUGGCCGCAGUAUUUUAACUGUGCAAAGGUAGCAUAAUCAUUAGUCUUUUAAUUGAAGGCUGGUAUGAAUGGUUGGACGAAGUAUAAUCUGUUUCAUAAAAAUUUAUUGUAGAAUUUUAUAUUUUAGUUAAAAAGCUAAAAUUUAAUUAAAAGACGAGAAGACCCUAUAAAUCUUUAUAUUUAAUAUAAUUUUAAUUUUUUUGAUGUAUUUUAUUUUAAUUUUAUUAAUUAUUUUGUUGGGGUGAUGUUAAAAUUUAAUGAACUUUUAAUUAUUAAAAAUCAUUAAUUUAUGAUUUAUUGAUCCGUUAAUAACGAUUAUAAGAUUAAGUUACUUUAGGGAUAACAGCGUAAUUUUUUUGGAGAGUUCUUAUCGAUAAAAAAGUUUGCGACCUCGAUGUUGGAUUAAGAUAUAUUUUUAGGUGUAGCCGCUUAAAUAUU
rnacentral:rRNA from 1 species